UCAAGGUGUGCUACAGUCCAGGCUGCUGCCCUCCGCGGCUCCAGGGUGAGAAUCCGUUCCUGGCUUCUUCCACUUCUAGAGGCUGCCGGCAUUUCUGGGCUCCUGGCCACACCCCUCACGUUGCCUUCUCCCGUGCUGUGGUCAAAAACCUCUCCGUCUCAUUCUCAUGAGAUCACAUUUCACAGGAUGCUAUUUAGUGCUGCCAAGGUAACCCAGGACAGUCUCCCCAUUGCAAGAUCCUUGAGUUAAUCAUAUCUGCACCGGCCCUUUGGUGGCACAAAACCACGUCCUUGGGUUCCAGCGCUGAACUGGGGACUGAUAGGAAGGGGCCAGUUGUUCAGCCACUCCUUGCCACUCCCAAGAGAUUCGGGUCUGUCCUGCACACGCACAGUCCCUUCCAACGUCGCCCAAAGUCUUAACAUCCAAAUUCUGAGUCAUCCGGACCAGGUGUGGAUGAGACUCUGGGAAUGAGUCACUGGAGAGGUCACCCUGGAGAAAUCCAUUCCCACGUGUCGCCCUGGAAACAACGCACCUGCUCCAGAAACGCACAGGUGGUAUGGGCCUGGGAUGGCAGUGCACGCCGUCCUGCCUGAAGACAGACAAUGCAAGGAAGAAAGGGGUCAGCAGUCCCAGGAAAUUUCAAAGUCCAGCCAGACAAGCUCGAUUCGUCCUCGAAGCCCCGGAAGAACCCUCCGGGGGCCCAGGCUCCACCUCCUGUGCCCCCGGCUCUGCCCUCGGAGUUGAAGGGCAGCCAGAACUUGUCGCUGAUGGGCUUCAUCAGCAUGUUUUAUGCCUGUAAAAUGCUGGGAGUCCGACAGCCUCCCACGGACAGGCCUGCUAAUUGUUCUGAUAGAGGAGAGAGGCUGCCUGGUGCAGCCCCGCGGGUCGGUGUGACCGCGACACUGGGUGGCUCCUCUGUCCUGCGCCAACACCAUCCACUUAACCCGUGUGUCAGCAGGGAGGUGGCUACAACGACACGGCACCCUUCCUAAUGGCUGCACUUCUAAUUUUAGAACCGGCUGAUUGUUGCAUGCGUCAGCUCUGAUGCUAGCCACUCCAGCGAGGCCCCGGGGCGCUGCAGCCGCUGUCUGUCCCCACCGCGGUGAGCGGCUUUGCUGUCUCUUCCCCUUCAUCUCCCUACUGUGAAGGCCUGGAAGGAAGCAGUGAACAACCACCAGUCCUCAUCUUUGUGACGCUCACUGGGAACCUGCCUAACAGGUGUGGGCCAGCUGCAGCCACCCCGCCCCUGGCUCCCCCUGGGAUUUCUGGCAGCUCCUCCUGGCUUCUGAAACAGCCUGACCCAGGGUCCUGAUGAAGUGGUGACCUCUCCAACCAGCAGGGGUGGAAGAUGGUACCAGCCACGCCCGAACCGGAGGAGGAGCCCGCAGUCCCUGCCCCGAGAUGGAGGACGCCACACCCGAGCCCGUCUACGUGGACGUGGACAAGGGGCUGACCCUGGCCUGCUUCGUCUUCCUCUGCCUCUUCCUGGUCGUGAUGAUCAUUCGCUGCGCCAAGGUCAUCAUGGACCCGUACAGCGCCAUCCCCACAUCCACGUGGGAGGAGCAACACCUCGACGACUGAGCGUGGGGGCGGCUGGGUGGGGACUGAGAGCCCAGCCCCCUGGGUAGCAGCGUCCCAGCAUGCGACCCUGCGUGCCCUGUGGCCUCGCCCGCGCCCGGGUGCUGUGGGGGUCACAACCAUGGAACAGCCUGGGGAGAAGCGUGGUGGGCUGGGACUCGGGGGUCCAGGGCUCCAGUCGGGGAGUCGCUGGGAGACUGUGGGAAGUCAUCUUUCCAGGCCCCUGUGCACCUGCGGAACUGGGUCCUGAACAGAUGCCCCCGUGCCUCUCACACCUGCAGAAGACCCCGCCCCUCAAAUGCAAAAUAGCACAGGGAAUCUCCCAGCGAGCCCAGGCUCCUCCCCCUUAGGAACCAGCGGUGGAGCAGGCAGCAAAGCAUGACAGGAGGCUGAGGGAGCCACACUGGGGGAAACUCACAAAAGGCACAUGGCUGCCGCCAAGCAGCACUUUUUUU